rnacentral:rRNA from 1 species
CGCCAGACUCCUACGGGAGGCAGCAGUGGGGAAUAUUGCACAAUGGGGGAAACCCUGAUGCAGCGACGCCGCGUGAGCGAUGAAGUAUUUCGGUAUGUAAAGCUCUAUCAGCAGGGAAGAAGAUGACGGUACCUGACUAAGAAGCCCCGGCUAACUACGUGCCAGCAGCCGCGGUAAUACGUAGGGGGCAAGCGUUAUCCGGAUUUACUGGGUGUAAAGGGAGCGUAGACGGCGGCGCAAGCCAGAUGUGAAAGCCCGGGGCUCAACUCCGGGACUGCAUUUGGAACUGUGUGGCUGGAGUGUCGGAGAGGCAGGCGGAAUUCCUAGUGUAGCGGUGAAAUGCGUAGAUAUUAGGAGGAACACCAGUGGCGAAGGCGGCUUACUGGACAGUAACUGACGUUGAGGCUCGAAAGCGUGGGGAGCAAACAGGAUUAGAUACCCGUGUAA